UCCACAGACUUAGAAGUCCUUAGAGCCUC
rnacentral:piRNA from 1 species